AUUGAACGCUGGCGGCAGGCCUAACACAUGCAAGUCGAGCGAGCGGCGGACGGGUGAGUAUUGUCUGUGAAACUGCCUGAUGGAGGGGGAUAACUCCUGUAAACGGUAGCUCAUACAGCAUACCAUCAGAUGUGCCCAGAUGGGAUUAGCUAGUAGGUGUGGUAAUGGCUCACCAAGGCGACGCUCCCUAGCUGGUCUGAGAGGAUGACCAGCCACACAGGAACUGAGACACGGUCCAGAGUCCUACGGGAGGCAGCAGUGGGGAAUAUUGCACAAUGGGCGCAAGCCUGAUGCAGCCAUGCCGCGUGUGUGAAGAAGGCCUUCGGGUUGUAAAGAACUUUCAGCGGGGAGGCGUUACCCGCAGAAGAAGCACCGGCUAACUCCGUGCCAGCAGCCGCGGUAAUAC
rnacentral:rRNA from 1 species